rnacentral:rRNA from 1 species
GAUGAACGCUGGCGGCGUGCCUAAUACAUGCAAGUCGAGCGAACAGACGAGGAGCUUGCUCCUCUGACGUUAGCGGCGGACGGGUGAGUAACACGUGGAUAACCUACCUAUAAGACUGGGAUAACUUCGGGAAACCGGCGCUAAUACCGGAUAAUAUAUUGAACCGCAUGGUUCAAUAGUGAAAGACGGUUUUGCUGUCACUAAUAGAUGGAUCCGCGCCGCAUGAGCUAGUUGGGAAGGUAACGGCUUACGAAGGCAACGAUGCGUAGCCGACCUGAGAGGGUGAUCGGCCACACGGGAACUUAGACACGGACCAGACUCCUACGGGAGUGAGCAGUAGGGAAUCUUACGCAAUGGGCGAAAGCCUGACGGAGCAACGCCGCGUGAGUGAUGAAGGUCUUCGGAUCGUAAAACUCUGUUAUUAGGGAAGAACAAAUGUGUAAGUAACUAUGCACGUCUUGACGGUACCUAAUCAGAAAGCCACGGCUAACUACGUG